UACGUAGGGUGCGAGCGUUAAUCGGAAUUACUGGGCGUAAAGCGUGCGCAGGCGGCGCCGCAAGUCAGGCGUGAAAUCCCCGAGCUUAACUUGGGAAUGGCGCUUGAAACUACGGUGCUGGAGUGUGGCAGAGGGAGGUGGAAUUCCACGUGUAGCGGUGAAAUGCGUAGAGAUGUGGAGGAACACCGAUGGCGAAGGCAGCCUCCUGGGCCAACACUGACGCUCAUGACACGAAAGCGUGGGGAGCAAACAGG
rnacentral:rRNA from 1 species